UCUAAUCCAGUGCUGGGGUUAUGAAACCUUUUUCUGAAAAGUAUUACAGCUUUAUGGCCAGGAGGCCCAAUUUCAGCUCUUCUGCCACUUGGAAAUUCCUAAAGCAGCAUCGAGAGAAUAUCCAGAAGCCAAAUACCGGAGAAGUACGGGUAUAUGAGCAAUCACUCAUCUGUUCCUUGCGGCGGCAGUCACUCACCAUGAUGUCAGAACCACUGCCUGGGGAGAGACAGCAGCAACUAGAGAUACAGAGAUCCCAGGCAAAGCCCCAAAUCUUCUCAUCCCCUCACUCCACAUAGACUUAUCAUCACUGCCCCCCACACCCUUUCCUGGACCUGCAAAAGGCAAAGGUUCCUGGGCAGGGACAGGGAGUGCCGGGGAGUCACCAACCAUGAACGCUACACAAGUUUCCCAUGGAAGAUUGGUGGGAAAGAACCAUCUGAAACAGUGACAGUUGGAGUGGGCUGAGUUGUGACUUGUGGAAAGAAGUAGGAAGAACCAGCAUUUUGGGUGGGACCAUGGUAAGAAAAAGCUGGGAGGUGUAUUGGAGUUCAGAUUGCAGAGAAAAGGUAUUUGUUCUUUAUUUUAUGGAUUAAAAGAGAAGAUGUUUGCUGCUACAUGUGUAUAUGUAUAUGUACAUGAGGGGAUGUUCACUGCUGCCCUGCUCGAGAGUGGAAAAGUAGAAGUAACCUAAUGGUCUAUUAAGAGUGAGAUGCAUAGAUAGACUUUGACAUGCCCCUACAUGGUGUACUAUGCAGCAGGUCAACGAGACAAGGAAGCUGUUUACAAACUGAUAUUAAGUUCUCAUAACUGUUAAGUUUAAAAAGCAAAUGCAGAACGGUUUGUGCUACUGUUUGUGGGGCCUGGGGAAAACAAAUGAAGAUAGAGUAAACAGCAUAUUUGUAUAAGGUGGAAUAUCUACAAAAAGAUCACAGAAAGUAAUUAAGACAGUAA